AUGGCAACAGUGGUGCCAACCAUGACCAACCAGAGGGAUAAAGGAAUUGAAGAUGGUCUGAGAGCAUACAGAGGUCUUUCAGCAGGUAAUACCACUUGCCUCAAGGAUUCUUUCAUGGUCUGCUUCCAGCUGAUUUUCAAGCUCCUGUGACCGCUGUUUCUGCCUCAGAAGUUCACUCCUAAAUCAGACAUGGGGGGUGGUGAAUGGUUGCGCUUACUUGAGGUUGCUCAGCUUGCUCUCGAAGGCGUCGGCCAGCUUCUUGGCCUCGUCCUUCCAGCGCCUGGUGGUCUUCUGCUGGGCCAGCAGCAGGCGUGUGAGGUCAGC